rnacentral:misc_RNA from 1 species
AAUCUUCAAAACCCUUUUUUCCUUUGAACCAUUGCGGUCGGGAAAAGGAUUUUUGGACUUGGAGGCUCAAUGCCCGCCCUUUCUUUUUGAAAGCGCGAGCUCCUCUCAAAUGAAUUAGUGGGGUCCGCUUUGCUGAUCCUUGACGUGAUAAAAUGUUUCUACGUUUUGGGUUUAGCACUGUUCCUUGGAUGCCUGCUCCUAAUCGUCUCAUUGACAAUGAUGGUGCUCUGGUCACCGCCGUCUACAUCGGCGGGAGGCUGGACCCACAAAAAGAAAA